GCCACCUGCAGCAUGCGCAGCUCCUCCUUGGUGGCCUCGGGCUGGUUCUUAAGGCUGGCCAGCUCCAGCUGCAUGCUCUCCAGCUUCUGCUCGCGCCGCCGCAUCAGGGAUGAAGACCUGAUGGUCGGAGCCAGCACAGCUGCCUGGGACCAUGAGGUGGAUUUGGAAUGAGGGCCGUCACAGCACAGAACACGCUAAAAGAAGCCUGGGUCCCUGACUCCACACAGCCCCAGACCACCCACUUGAACUUUUCCAUGAAAGAAAAUGAUAACUCUAGCUUGCUUA